rnacentral:lncRNA from 1 species
CUUUUAGUGAACUCUACAUCGCUGCAUGUUCCUGGGGCAACUGUCAAUCAAAGUGACUCCCUCAGCCUAGGGCUGGCCCAGGGCCUGAGAAGGCCGACAGGACUCCCUCUCACAUGGACUGCUGAGCAGAGCACUGUGAACUGAGGGUACAGGCAGCGCUCCCCCAUUCUAAUGUGUGUGCCAGGAGAGGUGGCCAGGUGCUCCUGCUGAGGGAGGCCUGCUGCAUGUCCUAAACCCUGAGCUAUUGUUUCUGGGCCUGGUCUUGCAGUCCUGUUUACUCUAUGAGCUACACAAAAGGCCUACAACAAAGUCCCUUUUGGCUUAAGUUAGCCAGCUUUGGUUCCGUCACUUAACCUAUUGACUUAGCCGUUGUGAAAGUUCCUGGCAGGUAGAAAGAUGGCGGGAGGCAGUGGACAAUGUUAGUGGAGGGGCCUGCCGAAGAGGUGUCUGGGAGAAGAGAAGGCCUGAACUGUGAAUUGAAUAAAACUAAGGGACCUUUUUGGACCAGCAAAAACAAGGCUCAGCAGCAGGAAGAAGGGGAAAUAGGGAUUCCAUAAGCCAAGCAGUUGGCACAUUGAAGUCCCUAAGGGGGCAAGGGAUGUCAAAGAAACAGGACAAGAUGUUGCUCUGUACUUGAGGAUUUGGAAACUGAAAAAAUGAGAAACCGAAAGAGGAAAACAUCCAAGGACUCAGUCAGGACUCCACCAAUGGUCACAGCAAAACAGUACUUUACAGGCACCCCUUAAAAGUGAAACAAAAAUUGUUUCCAGGACACUCUGGACAACAGAAGUCAGUAUUCAUUUACCGUUUCGUUCAUUCAUUCAGCUUCUAUGCAUCUGCUAAGCACCUGCCAUAGGCUGGACAUCGAGCUAGAUGCGGAGAUCACACCACCGUCUCUCCCCACACAUUAUUUGUCAUCCAACAAGGAAGAGGGAUGAGAAGACAAGAUCAUCACAGCCAGAGAAGCAGCUCACACAGGUCCAGAGGGUCAGCACAUUCUUUGUGGUUGGAUGUCCAUGUGUCCUGAACGUCCAUCUCCGUGGGAGUGGAAG